rnacentral:rRNA from 1 species
UACGUAGGGUGCAAGCGUUAAUCGGAAUUACUGGGCGUAAAGCGUGCGCAGGCGGUUUUGUAAGUCUGUCGUGAAAGCCCCGGGCUUAACCUGGGAAUUGCGAUGGAGACUGCAAGGCUUGAAUCUGGCAGAGGGGGGUAGAAUUCCACGUGUAGCAGUGAAAUGCGUAGAGAUGUGGAGGAACACCGAUGGCGAAGGCAGCCCCCUGGGUCAAGAUUGACGCUCAUGCACGAAAGCGUGGGGAGCAAAAAGG